ACCCUUUGGAAUGGAAUGUUGGAGUCCCAGGCUGAGCCCGGACGCUGAAGGGUUAGGCCAUCCCAAGGAUGGGUGCUGCACCUGAGAGUGGAAGGCACCUUUCCCGAGUAAGAGAAGAGACAGGCAAGGAAGUGUAGAAGCCUAACUACAUACACUUGAACCACCAUUUACAAAAAAUGACCACACUCCUAUUGCCUGAGGCUAAAAGCCCGCUGGGUAACAGGAGCAACCCGCUGGGGUCUGGGGACGCCCUGGAGGAGGAUAGCAGCCCAGCCACUGGUGAAUGAGCCCGGUCUCCUGCUCCUUGCUGGAGCCGGUGCAUCUGCACUCACAGAGGCAGUAGCUGUUCAGGCGCAUCCACCACCAGGGCUGAGAGUCUCUGCGCAGCGAUCACCAGCUUCUCCCUUUUCGCCAGUGGAGCUCCAUCAGGACUGUCCCGGGGAAUCCGAAGAGAAGUCCCCUCACCUCCACUGACACUGGGCGCCUCCUCCACAGCAAGCAGAGCCCCCUGGGUGUCCUCUCCCUCCUGGUGCCCCGCCCUCCCAGGGCGCCUGGGUCCCCGCGCCUGCACAAGGGGGGAGGACCUGCCAGCAAGCCCUCAUCGCCGCAGCUGGAGCGACAGCCACCGCUGGGCUCAGAGACACUUAGUGGGGAGGAGAGGGAGGGGGCGAAGGCAGGGCGGGAGAUGCGGGGCGGGGGGAUGGAGCCAAGAGGAGGAAAUAAAUAAAUAAAACAAUAACCUCCGCGCCAAUAAGAGCGAGGGAGAGAGAAAGACGCGGCCAGAGAGCCACCGGUGCCAGUCCGCUCGCCUGUGACAGGCUCUCGGCGCGCGCGUGUGUGUGCGUGAGUGUGUAUUCGCUGGGACUGGAGCUGGAAAGUUCAAACUAAACGUGUUGCUCUCCCGGGUGGCCGAGGCUCGCCACAGAGGCUCUGCCCAACUUCUCUGGGCCAAGUGACUGGCAGUGCCCGGCGCCCUUGGCGAGUCGCAGGCUGCUCGGCCCGGUGCCCGGGCGCAGCGGCAGCAGCGUCUCCGGUCAACCUGGGAAGGAGCCCCACGACCAGGGCUGGACGCUCGCCCCAACAGAUCGCAGACUCUCGGGGUCCUGGGCUAGCACCCUGGCAACCAGAAAAAGAAUUAAGCACAGUGAUAAUAGAAACUAAAGGAAAAAGAUAAAAAGAACCUAUGGAUAUUCCUCUAGCGUGACAUUUAUUCUGGACGAAACAGACAUUUGGUCAACUUACAGAUGUGGAUAAAUGUAAGUAUUGUCUAAUAAGUUCAGAUAACUUUUUUAUUAAUGGGUAAUAUGAUAUUAUACAUAUUCUUCCCAAAAAUUGAAAAAUAAAAUUUGUUUCCUUUUUGCCUGCAGAAUACUGUAAACUUUUAAAAUGGAAGGAAUAAGAAAACAAUAGUAUAUCUAGAGCAAACAUUCUGACUAUAAAUUGAUAAAUAUUAGAAAAAAAUAUAAACAAAAUAAAAAACAAAACAUCAAAUGUUUUCUGUCCAAAUGAUCAUUGGCAGAAAAUAUUUAGAUGUGCGAUUGUUUCUUUUGAGAAAUUAAAAUCCUUAUGAAAUCAUCUGAAAGGACAGGCUUUCUCUGAAUAAGAAUUUCAGUACUCAUUAGAGUAUUAAACAGUAGCUAGGAUGGAAGGCUUCUGCAAGGUCAGUUCUUUAUAAUUGGUGAUACUUUUCAUCUAUUAGAAUAGCCAUGAUGGUAGAGCCAAGUUCAAUUAAUGGGAGGGUCACUCUGUGCCUAAUUAGUUUUGCAAGUAAUUUUCUCACCAAACCUCUGCUAUUUAAGGAUACGAAACCUUUCCAUGACUACAGAGAAAAAUAGAACCUUGUAAACUGGCCUUAGGGCUUGAUGUGAUCUAUAAAUAAAAUUAAAUGGACUUGCCACUUAACAUUCCACAGCACUUUAGUGUAAUUUAGGGUUAAGGGCUCUUAUGCUUGGUAAAAAUGUUGAGUUUGAGAAAGCCUUUAUGUUUGACUGCAAUCUGAUCUCUCUUGGGUCAUAAUGUCUUUGAUCCUGUGAAUUUCAAAUGAAAAUAUGACCUUAGGAUGCAACACAGAGAGAUAGGAUUUAAUAACGGUAAUUCCAGAUAAAAAUGGAUUAUUCAGGUUUUAAACUCAUAUAUAUAUACUUUUAAACCUCGUGUGUGUGUGUAUAUAUAUAUAUAUAUAUAUAUAUAUAUAUAUAUAUAUAUAUGUGUGUGUGUGUGUGUGUGUGUGUGUGUGUGUCUCUGUGUGUGUGUGUGUGUGUGUGUGUGUGUGUGUGUGUGUAGCCUGGCUGAUACUCAAUUAGAGAUGAUCUGCAAUAUGACUGAUUGACCUUGCUCCACUUUAGCUAAUGGCUGUGUAUUUAAUGCCAAACCAAUAUAUAAAUAAAUAAAUAAAUAAAUAAAUAAAUAAAUAAAUAAAUAAAUAAAAUAUACUAUGCAUUAAGUUUCUGUUCUAAUAUUGCCCAUAAAGAUCACAGAGUGGAAAUAAAUAUGAAAUGUAUGUUAAGCCGAUAUUAUUGUGAGAAAAUAUUAAACAAUAGAAAAUUAAAAUUACUUGACACAGAACCUAUCUUUUCAGAAAUAGAGCAUUUGCUUUUGACCCUCAAUUAGAAUGAAGCGUUUGAAAUUCUGUUAAUUUAUAGCUGUAAAUUUUUUAAUUGGAUACUUUACUGAUUACAUUUCAAAUGUUAUCCUCUUUCCUUGUUUCUCCUCUGGAAUCCCCUAUCCCAUUCUCCUUCCCUCUGCUUCUGUGAGUGUUCUCCCCCCACCAUUCAAGCACUCCCAUCUCCCCAGCCUGGCAGUUCCUUUUAUUGGGGAAUCAAGUCCUCACAGGAACAAGGGCCUCUCCUCCCAUUAGAGAUACUUUAUAUAAUGUACAGUGCUAUUAUGGUUUGGAGUUUCAAUUUUUCAGCAUUUUCAUAUAGUAAGAUUUUACUUAUAUUCAAGGUCUGGGUGUUAGAUCUACUUUAUUAUUUAAAUGGGUAAGAAACAUUAAGCUGGUCUUUGUGGUUUUUUUUUUUUUUUUUGAGUUUCAUGUAUUUUGCAAAUUGUAUCUUGGGUAUUCUAAGUUUCUGGGCUAAUAUCUACUUAUCAGUGAGUACAUAUCAUUUGAGUUAUUUUGUGAUUGGGUUACCUCACUCAGGAUGAUACCCUCCAGAUCCAUACAUUUGCCUAGAGAUUUCAUAAAUCCAUUGUUUUUAAUAGCUGAGCAGUACUCCAUUAUGUAAAUGUACCAUAUUUUCUGUAUUCAUUUCUCUGUUGAGGGACAUCUGGGUUCUUUCCAACUUCUGGCUAUUAUAAAUAAGGCUGCUAUGAACAUAGUGGAGCAUGUGUUCUUAUUACCAGUUGGAACAUCUUCUGGAUAUAUGCCCAGGAGAGGUAUUGCUAAAUCCUCUAGUAGUACUAUGUCCAAUUUUCUGAGGAACCACUAGACUGAUUUCCAGAGUGGUUAUACAAGCAAACAAUCCCACCAACAAUGGAAGACUGUUCCUCUUUCUCCACAUUCUCUCCAGCAUCUGCUGUCACCUGACUUUUUGAUUUUAGCCAUUCUGACUGGUGUGAGGUGGAAUCUCAGGGUUGUUUUGAUUUGCAUUUCCCUGAUGAUUAAGGAUGUUGAACAUUUUUUCAGGUGCUUCUCAGCCAUUCGGUAUUCCUCAGGUGAGAAUUUGUUUAGCUCUGUGCCUCAUUUUUUAAUGGGGUUAUUUGGUUUUCUGGAGUCCAUCUUCUUGAGUUCUUAAUAUGUAUUGGAUAUUAGUCCCCUAUCUGAGUUAGAAUUGGUAAAGAUCCUUUUCCAAUCUGUUGGUGACCUUUUUGUCUUAUUUACAGUGUCUUUUGUCUUACAGAAGCUCUGCAAUUUAAUGAGGUCCCAUUUGUCAAUUCUCAAUCUUACAGCACUAGCCAUUGCUGUUCUAUUCAGGAAUUUUUUUCCCCCUGUGCCCAUAUUGCCAAGGCUUUUCUCCACUUCCUCCUCUAUAAGUUUCAGUGUUUCUGGUUUUAUGUGGAGCCCCUUCUUAGAUUUGGGAACAAAAUACCCAUGGAAGGAGUUACAGAGACAAAGUUUGGAGAUGAGACAAAAGGAUGGACCAUCCAGAGACUGCCUCACCCGGGGGUCCAUCCCAUAAUAAGCCACCAAAUGCAGACACUUUUGCAUACACCAGCAAGAUUUUGCUGAAAGGACGCUGAUAUAGCUCUCUCUUGUGAGGCUAUGCCAGUGUCUGGCAAACAUAGAAGUGGAUUCUCACAGACAGCUAUCAAAUGGAACACAGGGUUCCCAAUGGAGGAGCUAGAGCAAGUACCCAAAGAGCUGGAGGGGUCUGCAACCCGGUGGAACAACAAUAUGAACUAACCAGUACCCCCAGAGCUCAUGUCUCUAGCUGCAUGUGUAGCAGAAGAUGGCCUAGUCGGCCAUCAUUAGGAAGAGCAAACUUUAUAUGUUCCAGUACAGGGGAAACACCUGAGCCAAGAAGUGGGAGUGGGUGGGUAGAGGAACAGGGAUGGGCGUUUGUGGAGUGUAUAGGGAACUUUUGGGACGGCAUUUGAAAUAUAAAUGAAGUAAAUACCUAAUAAAAAUUGGAAAAAAGGAAACAUUAAACUUUUUUUUAAACUUUUCCUCUCUAUUAUGAAGUAUCUAUCCAGUACAAAAAUAUGUAUUCACAGAUAGGCAAAUAAAGAAUUUGUUUUAAAGACAAUUUAAUACUCAAAACAAAAUAUAUUAAAUAGAUUAACUGGCUCAAAUUUGGAAAAAAAGUGUUAACAUGUGUUCUUAAUAUUAUUUUUCAAAUGCCUCUUAUUUUCUUUAUAUUGCCUCUCUCUCUCUCUCUCUCUCUCUCUCUCUCUCUCUCUCUCUCUCUCUCUCUCUCUCUCUUUUAGAAACCUGUACUUACAAUUUCACUAAAAUGAAAUACUAAGUCAUAUUCUCCAAUAUGUCUACUCCUUCAAUGUAUGGUAAUUGGUGAUACACAUUCUGAAAUCCUUGGUCUUUAGUCCAAUGUAAGUGCACUUAGAAAAGUGUUGAAAUUAGCAUUUGAAAUUUCUACAUGCAUAUAUGGGCUAUUGUGACUUUUGUACUACUCUAGAAAUCACUAUAUAGACCAGGAAGGGUGAGAACUCAUGAACAUCUGCCUGUAUUAUUUUCCCAAAAUAUAAACAUAAAAUAUAAAUAUAAAUAUUGGGAUUAAUACUUGUAACACCAUACCCUACUAGAUAUUUUUCAAAUAAAAGUCAGAUUGUUUGUAUCUGUAAUAUCUGUUCCUUCAUAUCAUACAAUUUGUAUAUCCACAGCAUAUUCAUUUUGAUGUAAGUAAAUUCAGCUGAUUUUUUUCUAAGAAAACAUAUUAUAUUCUAAUUCUAAAUCAAAGAAUAAAUCAAAGAUAAAACUAUAUUGUAACUGAGAUAAAAACAUCAUUUUCCAAUAUAUUUUUUUUCAGUUUGCAGUCUUCUUCUAUCUUCCAUAUAUCUUUUUGUUUUCAGAAGGUGACCCAAACUAGAAGGCUCACUGGCCAGAAUGAUGCCUGAGGAACUACACAAAAUACAAAUAUGUCAAGAUUUUAUUAUUUGCUGAGAAUAGCACAAGUAAAGGACUCAACAGGAGAAAGAGAUAUCCUAAUUUCAUUUUCUCCAACGAAACACUUAUGAAUGGCUGAAUCCAAAGUGAAUCACCAUAAAUGUGACCAUCUCUAUGCCAAGGAAAUACUUAUCCAUACUACUGACAUACAUAUAGAACAAGGGCUUGUGUAAGGGAAGGAGGCAGAUAAUCUAGUUGUGUUAAAGAACUUUGAUGGCCUAGAGUAAAUGGUGUUUAAUGUAGUACCCUGUUCCCUGGCAAGCCAAUGUCAGUAGAGGGGUCUGAAGGUCUCUGAAAAAUUCCCACAAGAAAUGACAGAGUGCAGGUAGAUAAGUAGACUCUUGGCUCCCACAGGAUAUUGGACCUUGAUGAGAGAUUCCUCCAGAGGCUGAUGGGCAUUCAUUUUCUGCUUUGAAGUCUUCCAGGGAGUCAAAAUUCAGGCCUAAAAAUUAUACCCCAAGUUCUAGCCAGCACAGGUUUCUGUGAGAGCUCUUUCCUCGCAUGUGUAGGACCCUAAUUUCACCUCACAACUCCCUCUUCCUCUGGAAAAAAGUAUUGCACAUAGUCUUUAGUGUCGAGUUAGACUCCAUAGUGACCAUCAUUUAUCAUGCCCGCUUACUCUUUAUGUUUUUAGAGAGUGAGUCCAUACAAAAAUUUCCACUUCUUUACAACACUGUCAUAUAAACAGGUUACCACAUUUAUAUGAACCCUUGCUUUCUUUGGUGUAAAAUUAUAUUAAAAGCACAAUCCACCCUCAAAGGGACUUCUUUUUUUAUAAAGAGUGUUUGUAAACAUUAAUGUAGCAACAACAUUACAACAUUGCACACCACUUUUAAACCAACUUUGCUCCGACUGAUUUCCUUCUUGCCCCAGCUCGUCUGCUGCUCAUGUAUGAGCUAUGUUUUCCAUUCUGUCCUUGUGAGAGUAGAGACAGAGUAAGGUUAAGAGGGGUCAAGUAAACCAUUUUCUAGUAAAUGGUACAAAGCAGAAUCAAGAGGCUGUAUACUUAACCACGGCAUGCACUUUACUUCUAUGUAAAAACACCAGAAGACUAGAAAUAUGCAUAAAAUAUUAAGAGAAAGCUGGAAAGAUGCACUAGGCUUAUGGGAUAAGAAGCAAUGUAAGUGGGGUCUAAACUGAGUUCACCUCGAUGUGCUAUGCAGGCGAGACGCACUGACAACAAGGUCAGGGAGGUUUAAGAAAUAGUAGAAGGGAAGUCAAGAGUGUUCAGGAUCAAAUCAGAAAGGGAUUUCAGGAAGAAAAAAAAAAACAUGAUUUGAAAGAGCUGAUUGUGCUGAAAUGAAUCAGUGAGAGAACAAUAAGGAAAAGGUGAAAGGCAAAACUUAGCACAAUAUUUCACGCUGAGUAUAGAACUGGCCCAAAUAACCUUGCUUUAUAUAUACUAGUCCAGCUUGCAUUGGCUCAUGUCCUCGUUGGCAGAGAAUACCUACCACGAGACAUAACGAUUACCAGGAAAGAUGGAGAAGCAGAUGAUACAUAAGCACUUACUCCAAACAAAGUUUCUCUUAAAUGUCAGAGUCUGUGGUGAAGGAGAUAUUGUCUUUGGUAUCAACAGUGCUAACACAUCGCUACAUAAUUUGACAAAGCCAGUUUCUGAUAGCUACAGCUUCCCUGUCCCUAAAAUGUAAUUAAAACAUUUAUUAAUCUAAAGCAGUCAUUAGAAAUAUUAGUAAAUUCGGGGUAUGUAUAGUGUUUUGCAUAUUCCUAUAUUUCUUUUUACUACUUUGAGUCAGGUGUGUCUUAUCAAUGAAGAAUAUUAGAGAAAAUGUAUCUUCUAAUAUUGAAAUCUGAAGGAAUUUUUGGAUAGGGCUUUAGACAAGUCUGUAUCACAGGAGAGAUGAUGCUUUAUUCUUUCCGCAACUUUCACAACUAUUCCAUUUCAUAAAAUGAAUCAAAAUAAAUAUGAAAAGCAACAAUGCAUUUUUAUGAAAACUAAAAAUAGACAAGGAGAUAACUCUAAGUCUCUUGGAAAUGGUAUUUCUUUAACUAGAGAACUAUGAAGAUUUGUAAAAUACAGGGAUACUUUUAGACAGGCAUCAUAUAAUUGCUCUAAUAAGUGAGCUGGUGAUCUAGACUUAAGCAAAUAUAAAUCUUGAUGUGGAAUUUUUUUUAACCAAAAGAAUAAACAACCUCAUAUUGCCUUUUGCAUGAUAGAAUACUCCCUAAGCCAGAUAAAAUACAAAGGGUUGUGGGAUUACCAAUACAGCUGUCUCAAAUAAAACAAAUGUAAUUUUUAUUUAAAUAUUUAUUCCUGAAAAUAUCAUACAUGCACAUAUAAUGCAUACUGAUCAUGACUACCCUCAGUGUCCUUCCUUCAAAAUUUUUGAACUUACCCAAAGCAUCUUCUUCCCAUAUUCAGGAGUUCUUUUUUAAUGCACUGAUUCCAAUUAAUGUUGUGCAUACAAUGUUAAUAACUAUGAAGAUUAAAUAGAGAUCAUUAAUUACAGUGGCUAUAAUUGUAGUCUAAAUGACAUUCAUGUUUUGAAACUUUUCAUAGGGAAAAUGUGUAUAUAUGUGUGUGUGUAUAUAUGUAUAUAUAUAUAUAUAUAUGUGUGUGUGUGUGUGUGUGUGUGUGUGUGUGUGUGUAUUAAAUAUGUAAGUGCCCAGAGAAAUAAAUCAUACUAUAUACACAGAUGAUUAAUUUCUUUGUGCUACCAAAUUAAUUUAAUUGCUUUAUAGAGUAAUUAUUUUAAAACACCAGAAGAAAUAAAACCAGAUUACUUUUCUGUGGCUCUCAACUUUAAUAUUAUCUUCAGAGUUGAUGUCUCACAAAUUUAGAUAUAACUGAAAGAAAUUUACAGACAGCUGGAACGGCACUAGUCAAACAAGGAAGUCAAAGUCCAGUGUUAAAGUAAGAGAACUAAUUUUCUUAUGUGAAUUUAAUAAAUGGACAUCUCACAGGAUAGGAUGUAUACCCUGUGUGUAUCCUUUAAGUUUCUAUAUGCAAUCCCAUCAUUUGUUUCUAAAUGAAAGCCAUCUUGUGCUUACUUUCAUUUAAGUAGAACCACUCGUUUUGAUGAUUCUGUGCUAAAUUAGCUCAGUUUCCCAUUCCUUCACAAACUGAAAACAGCAACUGAUCUCAGAUAUAUUGAAUGGAAGCUACACUUAAGGGAGGGAAACAUAGAAUCUAAGAAUGUCAGUUCCUAAAGUUUGUUCUAGUUCUGUUCAUGGGAUUCAUACAAAAUUAGGAGAUCCUUUGUAGCCAACAUCACUUAUUCCAAUAAUUAUAUAUAGUGUUUAUUUUACUGUGGGGUUUUCCCCCUGAAUUCAAAAGCUUUCUCCAUUUGCAAAAGUUGACAGUAUUUGAACAAUUCAUAGUGUUUAUUAUUCUCUUAUAUAAGGAAUGACCGGUUUGGAAAACUGGUUUUCAAUCUUUAAAUAGGAUGUUUAAUCACCUGCAGUGGUAUAGGUUUUAUGAGAGUAAAAAUAUGGUUAGUGACACCUUUUAGCUUCCAGGAGGCUUCUAUUAUGUCAGAAGAGAGAGCAUCAUAUUCCUACAUUAAAAGCUUCUGUCACUACCACAGAAUUAUCUCUGAACUUUUCUCUUUCUAAAUGAUGUUCUUUCAUAGAUGUUUUGUUUGUCCACUUGCUUGCUUUUUUAUUUCAUUUUGGUUUCAGUGGGUGGGUGGAUGGGUGGUUGGUCGGUUGGUUGGUUCUAUUUGUUUUCUAUUUGUUUUCCUGGUCUCCAAAGAAUAUUCCUUCAAAACAGGAUAAAAGUGAAUAAACAGUUAGAUAGACUUCUCUAUAUCGAAGGAAGUCUUAGAGUGAUAUUAAAAGGAAAUUGUCCAAUAUACAAUCUUUUCGGCGGUAAAAAUAUGAUCAAUAUUCAUUUGCUACUUUCAGUGUGAACAGUUUUUCCAUAGAGCUUCAAGUACACACAUAAGCAAUAGAGAUACCAAAACAUGCUACCUCAAAUUCUGAUCUCUUCUCUUGUCAAGGAAGCAUGAUCAGAACUCAUGAGUCACUGUUAAGUAUAAGUGUAGUGUGAAGGAAAAGGGAAAAUACAUUAGGAGCGGUUUUGCCAAUUUGUAUAAUUUUUCAGUUAAGCAGUCAUAAAUCAAGGAAUAUUGUAUUUUUUGAGGCUCAUUAAAGAGGCAUUACACAUCAGAAUAGUGAAAUCGUCAGCAUAAUGAAAUGAUGAAUGCCUGUGACUAUCAGUAUGUAAAUGAUGUGAGACAGAUUCAGGGUGUUACAAAGGAGAAUAACAAUCUCUCUGACAGUUCCCUAUAGGUGCAGUUGCUGGAUGAUAGUGACAGAUGUUAAGUGCAAAGCUCUUCAGUGGCAUGCACUUAUUAGCACUCGGUUGAAACUUGCAAUAUAAAAUAAGAAGAAAAGCAGCCUACAGAAUUAUUCUAGAAAGAGUCGUUUAUCCAGGUGUACCAUUGUUAAUUUUCUUUGUUUGUUUUCUUAUUAAUCAUUUUAUUUGUUUAUAUUUCAAAUGUUAUGUCCCUUUCCAGUCUCCCCUCCCUUAACCUCCCCACACCAUUCCCCUCCCCUUUGCCUCUAAAAGGGUGCUCCCCCACCCACCCAUUCACUCCUGCCUCAUCCCUCUAGCAUCCUCCUUCUCUGGGAAAUUAAGUUACCACAGGACCAAAACCCUUCCCUCUCACUGAUGUCAUAUGGAUCAGUCCUCUGUUAUAUAUGCAAUGGGAGUCAUGGACCAGCCCAUGGAUACUCCUCAUUGUUUGCAUAUCCUUUGUGUCUGUGUUGCCUCACUCAGGGCGAUGUUUUCUAGUUCUACCCAUUUGCCUGCAAAAUUCAUGAUGUCCCCUUUUUUUAUAGGUAAAAAGUAUUCCAUUGUGGAAAUGCAUCACAUUUUCUGUAUCCAUUCUUCGAUUGAGGAACAUCUGGGUUGUUUCUAGCUUCUGGCAAUUACAAAUAAAGCAGAUAUAAACAUAGUGGAGCACUUGUCGUUUUUGGUAUGGUGGAGCAUCAUUUUGGGUAUAUGCCUAGGAACAGUAUAGCUGGGACGUAAGGUAAAACUAUUUUCAGUUUUCUGAGAAACCACAAGAUUGAUUUCCAGAGUAUUUGUACAAGUUUGCACUCCCACCAACAAUGGAGGAGUGUUCUCCUUUCUCCACAUCCUCCACAGCAUGUGCCUGAGUUUUUUAUCUUAGUCAUUCUGAUUGGUGUAAGGUAGACUCUCAGGGUCGUUUCUGUUUUGUUUUGUUUUGUUUUGUUUUGUUUUGUUUUGUUUUGUUUUGUUUUGUUUUGCUUUGCUUUGCUUUGCUUUGUUUUGUUUUGUUUUGUUUUGCAUUUCCAUGAUGACUAAGGAUUUUCAAUAUUUCUUUAAAUCUUCUUGGCCAUUUGAGAUUCCUCUUUAGAGAAUCUUUUACCCCUAUAAUUCCAUUUGCACCUCUGCCAUUUUGUCCUUUUGACAUUGGACUUUGCCUUACAGAAGCCUCUCAGUUUUAAGAGGUACCAUUUAUCAAUUGUUUGUAGUGCCGGAACCAUUGGUGUUCUCUUCAGGAACCUUUCUCAUGUCCCGUUAUGAGCAAGACUAUUCGUCACUUUCUCUUCUAUUAAAUACAGUGAAUCUGGUUUUUUGUUUGGUUUUGGUUUUGGUUCUUGUUUUGGUUUUGUUUGUUUGUUUUUGUUUUGUUUUUUUUUUUGGGGGGGGGGUGUCAAUGAUCCACUUAGACCUGACCUGUGCAGGGUGAUAAAUAUGGAUCAAUUUUCAUUCUUUUACAUACAGAUUGCCAGUCAGGCCAGCACCAUUUUGUGAAAGAUGUUUUGUUGUUGUUGUUGCUGUUGUUUUUUUUUUUCUCACUGUAUGCUUUUGUAUUCUUUGACAAACAUCAAUUGUCCAUAAGUUUGUCAAUUUAUUUCUGGGUCUUCAAUUCUAUUCCAUUGAACAAAUUGUUUUUGUUUGUUUUGGUUUUUUUAUUACUAUUGAAGUACGGAUUGAGGCCAAGGAUGGUGAUUCAUCCAGAAAUUUUAUUAUUAUUCAGAAUUGUUUUGCCUCUCCUGGAUUUCUUUGCUUUUCCAUAUGAAGUUAAAAAUUGCUCUUUAAGUGUCUGUGAAAAAAAAAAAACAUGCUUUGGGAUUUUGAUGGGAAUCACAUUUAAUCUGUAGACUGCUUUUGAUUAAGUGGCCAUUUUUACUAUGUUUAUCCAACUGAUCCAUGUGCAUGGGAGAUAUUUCUGACUUCUGAGGUCUUUGAAUUCUUUCUUCAGAGACUGGAAGGUUUGUCAUACAGGUCAUUCACUUGCUUAAUUAGAUUUACACCAAAAUAUUUUAUAUUAUUUGUGGCUAUUGUGAAGGGUGUUGUUUCCCUAAUUUCUUUUUCACCCGGUUAUUAAAUCAGAAAGAGGGUUUGUGAUUUGUUUGAGUUAAUAUAAUAGGCAGCCAUUUUGCCGAAGUUGUUAUUAGCUGUAAGAGUUUUCUGGUAGAAUUGUGGGAGUUGCUUAUGUAUACUAUCAUUUCAUCCUAAACAUCUUCUUUUCAAAUCUGUAUCCCCUUGAUCUGCUUUUGUUGUCUCAUUGUUCUAGCUACAACUUUAAUCAUUAAAUUGAAUAGAUAUGGAGAGAGUAGGUGCCAUUUCCUUGUUCCUGAUUUUACUAGAAUUGCAUCUAGUUUCUCUCCAUUUAAUUUAACAUUGGCUAUUGGUUUGCUCUAUAUUGUUUUUAUUAUAUUUAGGUUUGGGCCUUGAAUUUCUCAUCUCUCAAAGACUUUUAACAUAAAGGGAUGUUGGAUUUUGUCUAAGGCUUUUUCAGCAUAUGAUGUGCUUAUUUGAGUUUGUGUAUGUAGUUGAUUAAAUUGAUUAAUUUUGUACAUUGAAUGAUCCCUGCAUCCAUGCAUCUCUAUGUUAAAGCCUAUUGAUCAUGGCGAAUAAUGAUUGUAUACGUUCUUGGAUUCCGUUUGCCAAAAUUUUAUUGAAUAUUUUUGAGUCAUUGUUCAUAAACAAAACUGAUGUGAAGUUCUCUUUUUUGCUGAGUCAGUGUUGUUUAGGUGUCAGGGUAAUUGUGGUCUCAGUGAGUGAAAUAGGUAGUUUUCCUGUCGUUUAUAUUUUGUGGACUAGUUUGAGAAGUAUUGGUAUUAGGUUUACUUUUAAAGUCUGAUAGAAUUCUGCACUAAACCUUCUGGCUCUGGGCUCUUUUUCACUGAAAGUUUUUAGUGACUGUUUCUAUUUCCUUAGCAGAUGCAGGACAAUUUAUAUAGUUUACCUGAUCUUCAUGUAACUUUGGUACAUUCUAUCUAUAUAGAAAAUCAUCCAUUUCAUCUAGAUUUUCCAAUUUUGUUCAGUGUAGACUUUUAAAGUAAGACCUGGUAACUUUUUUAAUUUCCUCAGUUUCUAUUAUGUCUCUCAUUUCAUUUCUGAUUUUGUUAAUUUGGAUACUACUUGUGCCUUUUAGUUAGUUUGGCUAAGGGUUUAUCAGUCUUGUUGAUUUUCUCUAAAAACCAGCUCUCAGUUUUGUUGAUUCUCUGUAGUUCUCUUUAUUCUAAUUGGUUGAUUUCAGCCCUGAGUUUGAUUAUUUCUUGCCUCCUACUCCUCUUGGAUGUGUUUGCUUCUUUUCAUUCUGGAGCUUUCUGGUGUGCCUAUUAAGUUGCUAUUAGGAGAUUUCUCAGGUAUCUUUAUGAAGGCACUUAGUACUAUGGAUUUUCCUCUUAACACUGCUUUCUCAGUGUCCCAUAAGUUUGGGUUUGUUAUGCCUUCGUUUUCACUGAAUUCUAGAAAGUCUUUCAUUUCUUUAUUUCUUCCUUGACUAAAUUAUCAUUGAAUAGAGAAUUGUUCAGUUUAGAUAAGUAUGUGGGCUUUCUGUAGUUUCUGGUGUUGUUGAUCUGAUAGAACGUAAGGACUCAAGGAGUUAAUUCAAUCUUUUUUAUCUGGAGAGGUUUGUUUUGUGUCCAAUUAUAUAGUCAAUUUUAGAGAGAGUUCAAUGAGGUGCUGAGAAGAAGGUAUAUUCUUUGGGGAGUGUGAAAUGUUCUAUAGAUAUUUGUUAAAAAACAUUUGGUUCAUAACAUUUGUUAGUUUCAUUGUGUUUCUGUUUAGGUUAUGUUUCAAUGACCUAUCUAUUGGUGAAAGUGGAGUGUUCCAAUCACCCACUAAUAUUGUGUGGGGAACAGUGUGUAUUUUGAGCUUUAGUAAAAUUUGUUUGACAAAUAUGGGUGCCUUUACAUUUGAGGCAUAGAUGUUGAGAAUUGAGACUUCAUCUUGGUGAUUUUUUUUCUUUGAUGUAUAUGACAUGCCCGUCCACAUCACUUGAUUACUUUUGGUUGAAAUUCUAUUUCAUUAGAUAUAAGAACGGCUAUUCUAGCUUGUUGCCUGGGAUAAUUUACUUGAAAAAACCUCCUGCCUUUUUCUCUGAGGCAGUGUCUAUCUUUGUUUCUGCAGUGCGUUUCUUGUAUACAUCAGAAUGAUGGAUCCUGUUUACAUAUCCCAUUUUUUAGGCUGUGUUAUUUUAUUGGUGAAUUGAGUCCAUUGAUAUUAAGAGAUAUGAAUGACCAGUGAUUGUUAGUUCUUAUUAUUUUGUUGUUGGUGGUGAUACUACAUGUGCAUGAUUCUCUUCUUUUGGGUUUAAAGUGAG
rnacentral:lncRNA from 1 species